AACGAACGCUGGCGGCACGCCUCAUACAUGCAAGUCGAGCGCGAAACCACCUUCGGGUGAUGUAGAGCGGCGAACGGGUGAGUAACAGGUGGAUAAUCUGCCCCUUGGCGGGGGACAACAGCUGGAAACGGCUGCUAAUACCGCAUGUGAUUGUGAGCUCAUGGCUUGCAAGGAAAGGCGCCUCAAAGCGCCACCAAAGGAUGAGUCCGCCCCCCAUUAGCUAGUUGGUGAGAUAACAGCUCACCAAGGCUUCGAUGGGUAGCCGAGCUGAGAGGUUGAUCGGCCACACUGGAACUGAGACACGGUCCAGACACCUACGGGUGGCAGCAGUAGGGAAUAUUGCGCAAUGGGCGAAAGCCUGACGCAGCGAUGCCGCGUGAGUGACGAAGGUCUUAGGAUUGUAAAGCUCUUUUCUGAGGGAAGAAUAGGUCUGCGAGGAAAUGCGCGGAUUCUGACGGUACCUCAGGAAUAAGGAGCGGCUAACUCCGUGCCAGCAGCCGCGGUAAUACGGAGGUUCCAAGCGUUGUUCGGAAUUACUGGGCGUAAAGGGAGCGCAGGCGGACAGGUCAGUUUAAAGUGGAAUCCCAGGGCUCAACCCUGGACGUGCUUUGGAUACUGCCUGUCUUGAGUUCGUGAGAGGAAAGUGGAAUUCAGGGUGUAGCGGUGAAAUGCUUAGAUAUCCUGAGGAACACCAGUGGCGAAAGCGACUUUCUGGCACGAAACUGACGCUGAGGCUCGAAAGCAUGGGUAGCGAACGGGAUUAGAUACCCCGGUAGUCCAUGCCGUAAACGUUGUAUACUAGGUGCGGGAGGUAUCGACCCCUUCCGUGCCGAAGCUAACGCAUUAAGUAUACCGCCUGGGGAGUACGCGCGCAAGCGUGAAACUCAAGGAAUUGACGGG
rnacentral:rRNA from 1 species